UACGUAGGUGGCAAGCGUUGUCCGGAUUUACUGGGCGUAAAGAGCGCGCAGGCGGUCGUUCAAGUCGGAUGUGAAAGCCCCCGGCUCAACUGGGGAGGGUCAUUCGAUACUGAUCGACUCGAAGGCAGGAGAGGGAAGCGGAAUUCCCGGUGUAGUGGUGAAAUGCGUAGAUAUCGGGAGGAACACCAGUGGCGAAGGCGGCUUCCUGGCCUGUUCUUGACGCUGAGGCGCGAAAGCUAGGGGAGCAAACGGGG
rnacentral:rRNA from 1 species